AUGCAGCCUCAGAGAACAAUAAGCAACGUUACCAUGCCAAAGUCUCAGGAAUCUCUUUCUUGUGGAUUAAGUCCCCCUUGUUACACAAGUCAAGACUCCAUUCUUCACUCCACAUCUACUCUUUCCAAAAUGUUAGUUGAAGACCAUAUUGUAGGGAUGUUAACAGCUCUGGAAAAGGCUGGACUUGAAGACAAAAGCUUAUGUGUUAAUGCUGAGAGUGAAAUCCCUAGCUACUAUAUAGGCAAAGCAUUGGCUGAUAGUCACUUAUCAAAGGAUUCACUGGCCCAAACAGAGGAACCUGAUGACCUAGAAGGUUUACAGAAGAUGAGAGAUAAGAUUAUUACUGAAGGUUACUUUAUGUCAAGAGCACUCAACACUGAAAGGCUGAAGAAACCUUCUUUCUUGGGUGAACCAUUAUACUGCAUCAGCAUGAACAAUGAGCCAUCCACAGGGCCUGACAUUCUCAGCAUACCACUGAAAACCAAAGGAGUCAGCUUGAACCUGGUCUCAGUGAUCUCAGUACAGUUUACUGCCUGUGAGCCCUGCCUGAGUGAACGACACAAGCGCCCAAUGCCUAUCUGCUGGAUGUUGCCUUGGCUAUAGUGUAUAUUUUGUUGUCUUAAAUCUCUCUGUAACUGUUACGAAAAAGCUUCUCCAAGCAUCCUCAAGGAAGAGCAUUGUCACUUCAGUAUCCUUGAAGCCAUGAAUACAGAUUCUGUUCACAUCUGACAUUUCAAGGGUGAGCACAUUAUUCUGAAUGAUGUCUGAUGUUUAUAUUCUGAUAGGAACUCUGCAAUUACACUUAUUGAUGGUGUAAGAUUUCCCUAUUUACCUGUGCUUGGUUGCCCUGUCAUUGUAUUGCACAUAAGUUCUUUGGAAAGAUGGUUUCAUGCUUGAUGUUACAGAUGAAAUAUCAACUCUUUUUUUUUUUCCUUCUAUUUUUAUGUUAAACUAUAGAAAGUAAAAUUAUUGGGCAAAGCAAGUUAACUGAUAAGAAGUAUAAUAUAAUAGAGAUAAAAUAUAGCAGUGAGAUUAUUGAUGAAACAGCACCAAUACCAGGGUCAAAGCAAAAUUGAGCCCAGGACAAUUCAUGAUUUUUGACCUUAUCCUUCAGACUUUUUGGCCUGUUUUAUUCUGAGGAAUAAGUUUUGUGUGCACAGAUUUGUAUUGUUUUAUACUCUGUUAUUUCCUACUGAGAUUUUACAGCACAAGGUAAAU
rnacentral:lncRNA from 1 species